GACGAACGCUGGCGGCGUGCUUAACACAUGCAAGUCGAACGGAAAGGCCCUGCUUUUGUGGGGUGCUCAAGUGGCGAACGGGUGAGUAACACGUGAGUAACCUGCCCUUGACUUUGGGAUAACUUCAGGAAACUGGGGCUAAUACCGGAUAGGAGCUCCUGCUGCAUGGUGGGGGUUGGAAAGUUUCGGCGGUUGGGGAUGGACUCGCGGCUUAUCAGCUUGUUGGUGGGGUAGUGGCUUACCAAGGCUUUGACGGGUAGCCGGCCUGAGAGGGUGACCGGCCACAUCGGGACUGAGAUACGGCCCAGACUCCUACGGGAGGCAGCAGUGGGGAAUAUUGCACAAUGGGCGGAAGCCUGAUGCAGCAACGCCGCGUGCGGGAUGACGGCCUUCGGGUUGUAAACCGCUUUCGCCUGUGACGAAGCGUGAGUGACGGUAAUGGGUAAAGAAGCACCGGCUAACUACGUG
rnacentral:rRNA from 1 species